GGCGCGCGUAAGAGCGGGCGCGAGAAAGAAAAACUUAUGCAGAUCCCAGGCACUGUGGGAAUCGAUGCUAGCGAAGCUUUCCGUGCCGGAUGCUUUGAUUGACGAUAAUUAGUGGGGAUGUUGACGGCUAAAGCUUAGUUUCUUCAACGUUUAGGCUAACACGAGAGUGGCCCAUGGCAGCAUUAUGUUCUCAUGGGAGAGCUCAAAUUAUGGGUGGUGCUGAUCAGUGCAGUUUUUCAAGCAGAGGCAUAGAAUAUGUCUCCUGUUACACUGGCUUCUGAUGCUGCUGGUUUCGAGCGGAUCGCCGGCACCACAGCCGCAGCAUGAGAACUUGGACGUCAUGGAUGGAUCGUGCGAUAUUCACCUUGCCGUAUAAAGCCGGAGCCCUUGCAUGCAACUUCCAGUGGGGAAGGUGGCAUGCUGGAAGCCAUGUCAACUAAAAGUUGACUUCUGUUCCUUGAACAGGAGGGAAACAAAUGCAGGACGCAAAGAUCCAACAGCUGUGGCCACUGCUGGUGCUACCCCGACAUCUGUAAUAUAAAAUAUUGUUAGGAACAGGACGCAGACCCGGGCAAGGUCCAUCUGUUUGAAGUUUUUAAAGGGUGAGAAAUGGAAAGAAACAAAAUUUAGUUGUGCCUUUUAGCAUUCUGAAACUUUACAAUGGGUUAUGAAAGACACCAUAGUGCAGGGUUCCGGAAUAAUUUUGACCACCUGGUGUUCUUUAACAUGCACCUAAAUCUAAGCACACAAGCACUUUUCCAUUAUCCCCCUUUUAAAGUGGACCCGGCUUGCUGGUACAAGCUUGCUUCACGUUUAUUAGCGAGCUUGAGACAUCAUGAUUAAGCACUGUGUUGGCAUUUAUUGUAGUCGAAGGGUUCGUACAUUCAAGGUUUAUGAAUCUUUCUGUUGACCCAUACGGUAGUGCUCACAGCAGUCUUUCAAGCUCUGUAAAUCUGGCAUGCUAAUUAGGAAAAAGAACCAGGGCAAAAGACAUUGUGAAAACAUAGAAAAGAAGUUGAUAGGACAAGUCCUAGGCUAGCAAAUGCAGUUAAUUCAUAGAGCAGAAGGAAAGCAAUAAACGCUGAAGUGCAUACAUAUGCUGAGAGCUAAGAAUCUUAUGGAAUAAAAAAAUGAUAGGUGCAAUCGCAUCAGAUGCUGUCAGAAAAUGAGAUUUUUUUGCUUAUAAAAUGUAUUAAUCGUUUUCAAUUAAUGAACUAUACCAAUGCACAAUCUUUUUCCUGCAUAUCAUAGUCGGAUUAUAGCUACGACGGCAACUUAAGCAUAAGAACUGUAUUCUAAUUUACUGCUACAAAUGUAUGUCUAUUUUGUUGGCAUAAAAUGCUUCAUAAAUAUUUUCAA